rnacentral:pre_miRNA from 1 species
AUACGCGAGGAAAUUCCUGCGGGGUCGAACUGGGAACACAUGGGAUACGAACCGCUUGAUUGACGAGCGACUCUUAUCAACUCAUGUGUUCUCAGGUCGCCCCCGCUGGAGCCUCCUCGC